GGCUGGGGGGCAGGAUCACUGGGUCUUUCACCUGAAGCUGCAGGUGCAGCGCCUCAGAGCCACUCUAUGUGGAAGCACUUGUUUCAGCUCAUGGCGAGAAAAAUGUCUGCUGCAGGAUGCACUGUACCUGGAGUCUCUCCCUUAUCUGAUUUAGAAGAUAUUUGUGAUUAUUUUAAAUUAUCAACCUAAUGCAACAGAAUUACCUGAGAAUGUAUCUGUCUACUCACUUAUUUUGAGAGCGGGUCUCACUUUGUAGCCCUGGCUGGCCUAGAACUUGUUAUGUAGAACAGGCUGGCCUCAAACUUUCAGAGAUUUGCCUGCCUCUGCCUCUUGAAUACAAGAAUUAAAGGCCUGCGCCAUCAUGCCCAGCAAGAAGGAAGUCUGAACUCAAGAGUCGUCUAGAUCAGGAUUGCCUUUAGCAUGCCUGUGGUGGAAUUUCUGGAUAGUUAAUUGAUGUGAGAAGGUCCCCCCCACCUUGGGUUGCACCAGUCCCUAAGCAGGGGCUCCUGACCUCUAUGAGGAGGGACCUUAGGUAGGUAGGUGUUGGAACAUGUGAGCGAGUUCCUAACUGAUUACUCUCAUUUAAAAAACCCCACCCCCAGGCAUGUGCUUAGCUUUUCUGUCCUACAACAUCACAAUGAUAAGAUGUGGUUUAGGGGCUGGGGAUUUAGCUUAGUGGUAGAGCGCUUACCUAGGAAGCGCAAGGCCCUGGGUUCGGUCCCCAGCUCUGAAAAAAAAAAAACAAAAAAAAAAAAAAACAAAAAACAAAAACAAAAAAAAAAAAAAAGGGCUGGAGAGAUGGCUCAGCGGUUAAGAGCACCCGACUGCUCUUCCAGAGGUCACGAGUUCAAUUCCCAGCAACCACAUGGUGGCUCACAACCAUCUGUAAAGAGUUCUGAUGCCCUCUUCUGGUGUAUCUGAAGACAGCUACAGUGUACUUAUAUAUAAUAAAUAAAUAAAUCUUAAAAAAAAUUUUUUUCUAAAAAAAAAAAAAAAAAAA
rnacentral:lncRNA from 1 species